AGGUGAAUGGUAAAAAGGGAAGUUAGUCCGACCAAUUUACUGUACUGUCGUUCUACGCAUAAUUGUCCCAUGUUCGAAAAACUGAUUUCUGUGUUUCUACGCAUAAUUGUCCCGUAGGUUCCUAAUCGCCCCCGUUAGCAGUUUAUUACCCUUAUUUGUGAUCCUCUUGCUAAACAAUAGGUAAACAAGACAUAAUGCUUCAUAAAACUAAUGAUUCCGUGUAAGAAAAUCUUUGGUGGGACAAUUAUGCGUAGAAGUUUAACGAUGAGACAAACAGACUUUGUGUUGUUUUUAAUGAGUUUCCGAACAAAAUACCAGAUUUGAUGUGUUUUUCUUAAAGUACACGUCAAACUAAACUCAAAAAUGUAAUGAAUUCGAAAUCGUCGAAAAAUUACAUGGGACAAUUAUGCGUAGAACGGCAGUACAAUUAAGUAAACAAUAUGUUUUUAUUUAAAUGUUUCAAACAAUAAUUUUACUGAAAAAUUAAAAAUGAAAUACCAAAAGCAUUUGAAUUAUCAGCGUAAACAUUUGUUUGACUAUAAUAAUUUUCCGAUUUUAUAGAAUUCAAAUAACAGUUGCUUUAUCUACGAUUUCGCAAAUCGACCUUCUUUGCAUUUUUUGGUUUGGAUGAAACUUUGUCAACACAUUCCCUAUGUCAAAAUAAUUAAUUUUUCAUCAUAGUAUACAUACUUCAUACAAUUUGGGGACCUGGUAAACAAAUUUGAAUUUGAAAUCCAAGAGAAUUGUAUAAU